GUGAGGAAUAUUGCGCAAUGGAGGCAACUCUGACGCAGCCAUGCCGCGUGCAGGAAGAAGGCGCUACGCGUUGUAAACUGCUUCUAACCGGGAAGAAACCCCAGGACGUGUCCUGGGUUGACGGUACCGGAGGAAUAAGCACCGGCUAACUUCGUGCCAGCAGCCGCGGUAAUACGAAGGGUGCAAGCGUUAUCCGGAUUCAUUGGGUUUAAAGGGUGCGUAGGCGGAGCGUUAAGUCAGUGGUGAAAUCCUGCAGCUUAACUGUAGACUUGCCAUUGAUACUGGCGCUCUUGAGUGCGCUUGAAGUGGGCGGAAUGUGCCGUGUAGCGGUGAAAUGCUUAGAUAUGGCACAGAACACCAAUUGCGAAGGCAGCUCACUAAGGCGAUACUGACGCUGAGGCACGAAAGCGUGGGGAUCGAACAGGAUUAGAAACCCGAGUAGUCC
rnacentral:rRNA from 1 species